rnacentral:rRNA from 1 species
GACAGAGGAUGCAAGCGUUAUCCGGAAUGAUUGGGCGUAAAGCGUCUGUAGGUGGCUUUUUAAGUCCGCCGUCAAAUCCCAGGGCUCAACCCUGGACAGGCGGUGGAAACUACCAAGCUGGAGUACGGUAGGGGCAGAGGGAAUUUCCAGUGUAGCGGUGAAAUGCGUAGAUAGUCGGGAAGAACACCCCGUGGCGAAGGCGGUUCUCUGGGACGGUACUGACGCUGAGACGCGAAAGCGUGGGGAGCGAACAGG